GUGACAGAGAAACGUUAAGAGAGACAGUGAAAGACGUCCGUCCAAAAGUCAAGAAUCCGCAAGAAGACACACAGUCACCCUAUCAAGACAUAACAGAAUUAGAAGUACUUGGUAAUCCAGCCAAUCAGGAACUAGGAACCGCAGCCUAUGCAAAUGUCCAGACUGCCCACAAGGCCUUCCCACGUGAUCAGCUGAAGAUCAUCAAAGAGCUCGGACAUGGCGCCUUUGGUCAGGUGCUUCUAGCUGAGGCUUCGGGGAUAACACAUGGGUCAAAGGUCAAAUUGGUUGCUGUUAAGACAC